rnacentral:rRNA from 1 species
CCUACGGGAGGCAGCAGUAAGGAAUAUUGGUCAAUGGACGAAAGUCUGAACCAGCCAUGCCGCGUGAAGGAUGAAGGCCCUCUGGGUUGUAAACUUCUUUUAUCUGGGACGAAAAAAGCUCAUUCUUGAGCACUUGACGGUACCAGAGGAAUAAGCACCGGCUAACUCCGUGCCAGCAGCCGCGGUAAUACGGAGGGUGCAAGCGUUAUCCGGAUUCACUGGGUUUAAAGGGUGCGUAGGUGGGUCUGUAAGUCAGUGGUGAAAUCUCCGAGCUUAACUCGGAAACUGCCAUUGAUACUAUAGGUCUUGAAUCAUCUGGAGGUAAGCGGAAUAUGUCAUGUGGCGGUGAAAUGCUUAGAUAUGACAUAGAACACCAAUUGCGAAGGCAGCUUACUACGGGUGCAUUGACACUGAGGCACGAAAGCGUGGGGAAUCAAACAGGAUUAGAUACCCUGGUAGUCCACGCCUAAACGANAGANANCACNNNNNACACUGUGUGU